rnacentral:rRNA from 1 species
GAUGUACGCUGGCGGCGCGCCUAACACAUGCAAGUCGAACGAUUAAAGCACCUUCGGGUGUGUAUAAAGUGGCGAACGGCUGAGUAACACGUGGGCAACCUGCCCCUUUCAUUGGGAUAGCCACGGGAAACCGUGGAUAAUACCGAAUACUUCGAGACUUCCGCAUGGAAGACUCGAGAAAGCUCCGGCGGAGAGGGAUGGGCCCGCGGCCUGUUAGCUUGUUGGUGGGGUAACGGCCUACCAAGGCAAUGAUGGGUAGCUGGGUUGAGAGACCGACCAGCCAGAUUGGGACUGAGACACGGCCCAGACUCCUACGGGAGGCAGCAGCGGGGAAUCUUGCACAAUGGGCGAAAGCCUGAUGCAGCGACGCCGCGUGCGGGAUGAAGGCCUUCGGGUUGUAAACCGCUUUCAGCAGGGACGAGGCGAAAGUGACGGUACCUGCAGAAGAAGCCCCGGCUAACUACGUG